AGCUUAGAUCCAGGCAAGGGAAGACAGAACCGUCUUUAACCAGAGAAGCAGAAACAGUUGUAGCACAGCUCAUAGAGAAAGUGUUGGAGCAUGGAGUAAAUUCAACUGCCUGGGUAGCGCGCCAGCUGGAGGAAGGCAGCAAUUGGAUAACUGGAUUUGUGUCAGGAAAAUGAGAGAGAGGAGGAAGGGAGUGAGAGAGACAGACAGAGGGAGGGAGAGAAAGAGAGAUUGAGCUUUCUUCUUCCUCCCUUCUAUUUGGCCUUGGAAUACCCUGCAGACAAAGAUGGACUUCCUUUAGCCGUGUCCUCUGGCCCAGGCUACCAUCACCCCCCAAAGCCCUGAGCUUGAAACUGGGGUCAAGGAAGCCUUCCACAUGAUCAAUCAGUUACCCAACCUCUUUCCCUGUUGUGGCUCUGCCCUCCUCUGGGGUCUUGGAGUUCUCACCAGAAACAGCAAUUGUCGCCACAAAUGAAGAAUGUUCACGUUUGUUUUACAACUUCUUAAUGCACCGCAUUCAGUCUUCCUGUAAACUUGACUGCUUAGUCCUUAAAGUAUAUUGGUGGAGCAAUGUCUGCAUGCCUUCGUCAACACAUCUAUUGGCCUGUUUGUCCCAGCAUCCCAGUUGGAAUGGGAACCCUUCUAAGAAAAGCCUUUAUCCUUUACUCACCUACAAACUCACUGGGCACCCCCGGAAUUGUGGUCCUGGGCGUAUAGCAGGUGUCUAGUCACUCUUUUCUGGUUGUGCCAGUAAUUGGGGCCUGAUUACAAUUCUGUUUCAUCCAGUGCACCUCAAUGGAGAGAAACCAGCAAGAAACUCAUGCUUUCUGCCCCAUCUCCUUCCUUUCUUCUGUGUGUAAAGUGGAGAAAAGGCUGGAGAGUGUGGUAAGAUAGGAAGAAACCAAGCAAAGCACACAUAAACAAACAAAUGAAUA
rnacentral:lncRNA from 1 species